UCGCCUCGCCGUCCCCCAAUCCAAUUUGCAGGUGGGGUUGGCAGGCCGUAGGCGGGUCGCUCAGGGUGCCUUUUCCUGCCUGAAAUGGCACCGUUUAGAGAAAGGAGUUUGUCUCUUUGAAGAAAACCGGACAUGGCUUCAUUCAUUACUAAGCUACUGUUUUCACACCCAACUCGGAGACAAAAGGAGAGAACUGCGUAGCGGGUCUUCCUGGGCGCUUUUACUGCAUUAUCUACGCCACGCCCCCACGUGAGAGCGGGGCGCUCCUGCGUGUUGGGGGGUGCUCCUCCCUUCCAUCCCCUGCGGCCUUCUAAUUAUGGCAGCCCAGGUGUUUGCAGACAACAGAAAUACCCAGAAUGAAAACAGCUUGGGAAUUGCAGGUACUUCUGUCCUUGGAACAAUCAAUGAAAAACUGAAAACUGACCCACAGAAGUUUAAUGCAAAGAGUUUGUUGCAAUGUUAGUCAGCCAAGUUGCUGUCAUAGAAUGAGGGCUCACUCCACAGAAAGAAGAUGGACCCUGAAGUACAAGACUGAGUGUGUUUUCAAGUAAAAGUUUGGAGUUUGAGAUUA